UCUACGCGCGGCAGCAGUGAGGAAUAUUGGUCAAUGGACGGAAGUCUGAACCAGCCAUGCCGCGUGCAGGAAGACGGCUCUAUGAGUUGUAAACUGCUUUUGUACGAGGGUAAACCUGAAUACGUGUAUUCAGCUGUAUGUACUGUACGAAUAAGGAUCGGCUAACUCCGUGCCAGCAGCCGCGGUAAUACGGAGGAUCCAAGCGUUAUCCGGCUUUAUUGGGUUUAAAGGGUGCGUAGGCGGAUUGUUAAGUUAGGUGUGAAAGGUUCGAGCUUAAAUCGGGAACUGCCUGUAAUAAUGUUGAUCUAGAGAGUAGAUGCGGUAGGCGGAAUGCAUGGUGUAGCGGUGAAAUGCUUAGAGAUCAUAAAGAACACCGAUUGCGAAGGCAGCUUACCAAUCUAUAUCUGACGCUGAGGCACGAAAGCGUGGGGAGCAAACAGGAUUAGAUACCCGUGUAGUC
rnacentral:rRNA from 1 species